rnacentral:rRNA from 1 species
UGACCUCAAAUCAGGUAGGACUACCCGCUGAACUUAAGCAUAUCAAUAAGCGGAGGAAAAGAAACUAACAAGGAUUCCCCUAGUAACUGCGAGUGAAGCGGGAAAAGCUCAAAUUUAAAAUCUGGCGGUCUAUGGCUGUCCGAGUUGUAAUCUAGAGAAGUGCUAUCCGCGCUGGACCGUGUACAAGUCUCCUGGAAUGGAGCGUCAUAGAGGGUGAGAAUCCCGUCUUUGACACGGACUGCCAGGGCUUUGUGAUACGCUCUCAAAGAGUCGGGUUGUUUGGGAAUGCAGCUCAAAAUGGGUGGUAAAUUCCAUCUAAAGCUAAAUAUUGGCGAGAGACCGAUAGCGAACAAGUACCGUGAGGGAAAGAUGAAAAGAACUUUGGAAAGAGAGUUAAACAGUACGUGAAAUUGCUGAAAGGGAAACGCUUGAAGUCAGUCGCGUUGUCCAGGGAUCAACCUUGCUUUUGCUUGGUGCACUUUCUGGUUGACGGGUCAGCAUCAAUUUUGACUAUUGGAAAAAGAUUAGGGGAAUGUGACAUCUUUGGAUGUGUUAUAGCCCUUGGUUGCAUACAAUGGUUGGGAUUGAGGAACUCAGCACGCCGCAAGGCCGGGUUUUAAACCACGUACGUGCKUAGGAUGCUGGCAUA